UUAGGGUUCGAUUCCGGAGAGGGAGCCUGAGAAACGGCUACCACAUCCAAGGAAGGCAGCAGGCGCGCAAAUUACCCAAUCCCAAUACGGGGAGGUAGUGACAAUAAAUAACAAUAUGGGGCUCUUACGGGUCUCGUAAUUGGAAUGAGUACAAUUUAAAUCUCUUAACGAGGAACAAUUGGAGGGCAAGUCUGGUGCCAGCAGCCGCGGUAAUUCCAGCUCCAAUAGCGUAUAUUAAAGUUGUUGCAGUUAAAAAGCUCGUAGUUGAAUUUCGGGAUCUGUCCAUUGGUCGGGCCUCACGGUCCGUACUGGUGUGAUGGGUUCCUACCUUCUGAAUAACCAGCAUGCCAUUUAGUUGGUGCGCCGGGGAAGCAGAGCUAUUACCUUGAAAAAAUUAGAGUGCUUAAAGCAGGCUAUUUGCUUGAAUAAAUUACCAGGGAAUAAUAAAAUAGGACGGCUUGGUUCUAUUUUGUUGGUUUCAAGGAUCACCGUAUUGAUAAAUAGGGAUGGUGGGGGCAAUUAUAUUUCAUUUGUAGGAGUUGAAAUUCUUGGAUUUAUGGAAAACUACCUUCUGCG
rnacentral:rRNA from 1 species